rnacentral:rRNA from 1 species
UACGUAGGGUGCGAGCGUUAAUCGGAAUUACUGGGCGUAAAGCGUGCGCAGGCGGUUUUGUAAGCCAGAUGUGAAAUCCCCGGGCUUAACCUGCGAAUGGCAUUUGGGACUGCAAGGCUCGAGUGCGGCAGAGGAGACUGGAAUUCCUGGUGUAGCAGUGAAAUGCGUAGAUAUCAGGAGGAACACCGAUGGCGAAGGCAGGUCUCUGGGCUGACACUGACGCUCAUGCACGAAAGCGUGGGGAGCAAACAGG